UACCCGCUCCUCCUUGUUCCUGUUCUACCAUAUCGUCACCUACUAGGCCUCUUCUUCCGCAGCCGACGCUCGCCGUCCGAUGUCGACGGCAGCAGCAGCAGCAACUCCCUCCGCGAGAGGAGCUGGAGGAGGGACAGGGAGUCUCUCGUCGUGGUGCUGCUCCUCCACCUCGAGUUCACCCGCCGGUAGCUCGCCGCCGGGUGGACCCUGUCCGAGGUGUGGAGCGAGGGAGAGGUACGGUCGGGGUUACGGCUGCCGCGGGCAGGCGACCUCGGCCACCUGCACACGGCCGACCCCCGCCGCCUGGCCGCCCUCGACCACGUGUGGGAGUAGCGGCUGUAGGUGUUCCUGUUGGAGGCGGACGAGGCGGUGGUCGCGGCGUCCUACCUGUCCCAGCCGCACGCCGUCGGGUGCCACCUCCACGCCACCGCCUUGGACGCGCAGGUCCGGCUCACGGUCCAGCAGCUACCGUUCGGCGAGGGGUGCGAGGAGUUGAGGCGGUAGAGGUGCGAGAGGGACGAGUGGUGGUACGAGCCGAAGUUGGCAUUGGUUCUUUCCUAGGUGUAGGAGUUUCUACAGUGGCCGUAGGAGUUUGGAAGGUCCUACUGGGAAGAGGAACCUGGGGAUCCGACACCUUUUUGGUGGGAAAACGAUCGUGAACGACCUUCCGAAUUGUUUUUAGAGUUCCAUUGUCCUCUUUAACUGAUGUUACCACAGUUCGACGUUCUAAAACAAGGUCUCUUCUGUAGUCGAAUGUAACCGGUCAUACUAGAAGUACAGGGACUCUACUGACAGUCCCUCUGCGAGCUGAAGAGACGUUCUAAGGUCCCACAACCGUCGUCUCGUCUUUAGUACUUCCUUCAGUAAUCCUCCCUCUUCCUCCGACCCUAGUGGGGACUGGGGUUGUAUCUAUGUAUGUACUUCCGUUAUAGACACCUUCCAAAUCUUUCUUCGUACGUUUGUCUGAUGUAAUACUUCUAUUACCCUGAACUGUAUACGCGACUACAUGAUCAUCCUCUACGGUACUCUUCUCCGUAAAGUCCGCCACUCUUCUUUUCUGAUUGGUGUCCUCUCUACUAUCAUCCUGGUAGUUUUCGCGAGAAGUACCUACUUUAUAGUUGACCAAAGAAACUUAGUACACCGAAAUUUACGGGGCUUUCUUUUCCCUCGCGACUGAAGGAAGUUCUCCAGGACAGUUUUUUUCUAGUCGUUGUUAUGACCUCGGUGUGGCUUCUUCCUAUAUUAAAACAAUGUCAACUAGUUAAGACACUAUUCAAAUUUCGUAGAGUUUCACCAGUCUUAGAACGACGCCUCGAAAGCUUCGGCAUACUGCUUAGAUUUCCUGUAUUCUUACGCGACAGGAAGUCAUAGAUGAGUAAUAGGUUCACCCUAGAUGAGUUCCGUACAAAACGUGCCCUCGAGGAAGAAUACUUUUCCUUACGGAAGUAGAUGUAUAGUUUUAGGUAAGUCGAACCUAAUGAACGACAAUAAUGACCCUGUCAUAAAGACGCGUGUGCAUACCCACAACUGUCUUAAGUACGAUUGAUAAUAUACCCAAGUGAGAAGAUACGUGAGGACGACGACUACCACUUACCUAAGGGACUCGACCGGUACCGUUAAUUGUCUGACGGUCAGAAGAUGUUUGUCUCUCUACUGAUGAAGAUAGGACGUACCCGAAUACGUUAUGGUAGAAAAUAGGAUUUCUAAGGUCAGAGAAAUCAACUCAGUUAUCGAACCUGUUGUUAUAGGAUGAUGGACUAACCGAUAUGGGGCCUUCGUAGGUCCAAGAAGACAGUUGAGGAGCAGGAGAAGGAGUAGGUGUGUCAUUGUAAUAGUUACAAAGCUACACACCGGAGUAUGACAGUUUGUUACCACCGACCAAGUCAGCCACCAUGUUACCGUAAAGAUCGCUGGGAAGACAAACCCCCAAAGUAUUAAGGAGCGAGUAAAUACGGAUUAACCGAUUUCACCCCUAAAACCGAAAGAGGUAACAGUAUACCACUUUAUCCGAAUUGACCUUUACUCAAAAACCGUGUUUCUACCAACCUCUAGUUCUAUAGACCACAUCGUGAACCUUCCUCCUAGGAUUACCUAGUUCCCGAUCUGAAGAGGUCGAUAAAAAUGACCUAGAGUUAACCUCGUAACGAACCCAAAUGAAACAACAAGUUACAUCCGAAGCGGUAUCCGAACUGGUAAUUUUUCCAAGGUCCUUGAAGAGCUCGAUAAUAGAGAGCGUUAUUCGAAUGGUCUAAACUACCUCCUCUGGUUCUAUUGUUGUACCUUUUAUACUACGGAUUCAAUGUUCGUCUCUGACAAAACAGUGGUUUAUCCUGGCCCUCCUACCAUAACGGAAAGUACGGGGAAUAUUAUAGUAAGGUCCUACAGUUGAUGAUACAUCUGUGGGGACGCCUUUACUCCCUCGUACCAAUGUACCUUUUCUUUGAUGUCGAUGAGGUGUUAUAGUGUCCUCGCAAGGUCGGUCCCCAAGAGAGCCGUGAGUACCCCCAAUGACCUCGCCCUUUUUGUUGUGAGGAACUACAAGAAAGACCUUCCUUUUGACCACCACAAUAACUUCCCCUACAUUCUUAUCCUCCGAUAGGAUUUUAAGUCGUCUGAAAACGAUCCUAUAGUCCGAUGACACUUGUUUGACUACAGGUAAGGGGUGUCUAGUGUCACCCACUUAGCCAACGUAUAAGUCGGACCAACGCGGAAGGUGGUCUUCAACUACGUUUUCGUUCUUUACUAAAACACUUGCUUCAAGAACUUUGUUAACUCAACUUGCUUUAAUCUCUAAGAAACCAGCCUUAUGGUCCCCAUUUACCUGAUAGUUGUCUCGUUUCCUUUGCCGAGUGCUAACGUCAGCUCGAGCACAGAUUGGGGAGUUAGUAUAAAUACCUGCUCGGUUGUAGUCCGAACCUACGUUCCCGUCGACGAUAACAGUACACACGUCACUUCUUACAACGUCUGUGUCCAGUUUGCCAACACACGUGGUAAGUGGUUGGUUCAUAGCUAUAUAAACUCCGUAAACUACUCAACUACGACUACUUUUCCCCACCUCUCAACUAGAUACGACCCGGUCAACCUGUGGUAAGUACACUUCAAUAGGUCAUAAAGGUCCGUUAUGGACCCCAAGGGUCCUAGUUCCUGUUCAUGUUGGGUAGUUGUACCUACGAUCUUCAAUGAAGAUGUAGAUACCUUGAAGUUGACCCUCAUCUAAAACGUGUUUACAUGUCCCUUAGUAGUUACACGUUCCUGUUCCUGUACGACCACUUCGCGAACUCGUAUGGUCAAGGACCAUGUUCACUGGAGGUAAAGGGUUGGGUCAAAGGCGUCUUCAAAGCCCUCGUUAAGUUUCGAACGAAGACCUUCGUCACAAACAGCAUAACCUCUUGAGGAAGAAUGUUGGACCACGCCUACCAUAAGUAUUGUCACCGGACGUAAAAGAAACCACACAAUAAGACCGUCUUUCCGUUGAAGUUGGCGUAUUUGCUGGUCGUUCCAGAGUAGUGGUAUAACCCCACGUACAUACCUUGGUGAGACAAGUCACCGUAGUUGUUGACGGUUAGUCACUACGGAAAACAGAGGUAACUUGCGAGGCAGCACAUGUCCCUCUCCAAGCGUCCCUACAUGAGAGGAACCCGGAUGAGGAAACGCGUCCAACGGUACCUCUAUGGAAUACACGACCACGUCCAUCACUAGAAGUACAACUAUCGUAUAGGCUACUAUCCCAUGCUCACCUGUCGUCGUUUCAAGAAAACCAAGUACAUGUGGUACAACACGUGCGACAAGAUGAAGGAGAUGGACCCUUACUACUAACACAGCGAGUGGGGGUUGUAGGUUCAGCGUAGGUAUGAACGUAGGUACAAGAUGUGGGAUGUCUUGGAGUACAGGCCGAAGUAGCACGGACGCGGAGUUUAUGGUUUUACCACCUAUACCGAGAUGAUGUAGAGGGGUUACAGUACCUGCGAGUUACAGAAGAAGUGGUGCGUCAAACCUCUAGUGCUACUGUACUACUAGCUACAUAAACCUCUCUGGUUUAGGCAGCGUCGUAAAUACUCCCUGAUGAAACCAAAAGCGGCACUGGAUGACGGUGACCGUCGUCACCGGGACCGUCGUAAGGGACAGGAGAAACGGCAGGAGAAACCAAUGUUGUAGAGUUUCGAGUUGAAAGUUUCCGCUAUCUGUUUGUUUAAAAGUAUCAUCAUUUUGUCAUCGUGCUAUAUCUUAUCUAUAAUGUUUGUCAUCGUGCAUAGAGACACGAUUUUAACUUUCGGGCUCAAUCGAAUGGUUGUGCUUUUCCAGUUACAUACAUAAAAACACAUUUACCCUAUAUAUCGUCUUGUUUUAAGGUCAUCAUCGGUCAUAAACUCUACACACUAUAACAGCAAUUGUCUGAGAAUCCGCGAAAGUG
rnacentral:rRNA from 1 species